rnacentral:rRNA from 1 species
AGAGCGAACGCUGGCGGCAGGCCUAACACAUGCAAGUCGAACGGACUCUUCGGAGUUAGUGGCGGACGGGUGAGUAACACGUGGGAACGUGCCUUUAGGUUCGGAAUAGCUCCUGGAAACGGGUGGUAAUACCGAAUGUGCCCUUCGGGGGAAAGAUUUAUCGCCUUUAGAGCGGCCCGCGUCUGAUUAGCUUGUUGGUGAGGUAAUGGCUCACCAAGGCUACGAUCAGUAGCUGGUCUGAGAGGAUGACCAACCACAUUGGGACUGAGACACGGCCCAGACUCCUACGGGAGGCAGCAGUAGGGAAUAUUGGACAAUGGGCGAAAGCCUGAUCCAGCAAUGCCGCGUGAGUGAUGAAGGCCUUAGGGUUGUAAAGCUCUUUACCCGAGAUGAUAAUGACAGUAUCGGAAGAAUAAGCCCGGCUAACUCCGUGCCAGCAGCCGAC